UACGUAGGUGGCAAGCGUUGUCCGGAUUUACUGGGCGUAAAGAGCGCGCAGGCGGUCGUUCAAGUCGCGUGUGAAAGCCCCCGGCUCAACUGGGGAGGGUCACGCGAUACUGAUCGACUCGAAGGCAGGAGAGGGAAGUGGAAUUCCCGGUGUAGUGGUGAAAUGCGUAGAUAUCGGGAGGAACACCAGUGGCGAAGGCGACUUCCUGGCCUGUUCUUGACGCUGAGGCGCGAAAGCUAGGGGAGCAGACGGG
rnacentral:rRNA from 1 species